rnacentral:lncRNA from 10 species
GUUUAGGCCGGAAAUGGUCUAGUUCUCAGAGGUGGUCCGAUCCCUAACCAGUCCCAGGCCCAGCCCCAGCCCAGCACCACCUGGAAGGUUCAAGUACAUGGAGGAGAGGAGGCUUGGCGUAGACCGCGCACUGGAAGGCGUGCGCGCAGGUGUGCGUGACCAUGUGCUUGAAACGGCAGUAGCGCAGCGAGAAGGAUCGCCAUCACACGGCGCACUGGUGCGGCUUCUCCCCCGAGUGGAUGAACAUGUGCUUGGUGUCGUUUUUCCUUGAGCUGAACGUCUUGCAACAGUGGCCGCACGCAUAGCUGCCCCAGAUCCCGGAAGAAAAUCUCUCCCACACCACUGUAGUCAGAGAGGCCAGUGGGUGCAUGGAACUCCUCGCACGCGCUGUCAGCAGCAGCAGUGAGGAAGCCGGCAGCACAGUCUGGGAAGGAAGGAGGUGCUUGGCUCUCUCCCGGGCCGCCACCUUCGCCGUCCUCGCCAUCGGUCUCAUCGUCAGUUUCCUCGUCAUCGUUGUCACCUCGGUCGUCAGGGGCCGCGGACAGUGAGGGGCACCACCGAAGGCACACGGAUCUCAGAGGGGCCGAGCAGCAGCUUGUCUUGGAAGGAGGGCGAGCCGAUUGCCAGCCCGCAGCGGUGCGCACGCAGCGAAGCUUCAUGAAUGCACACAGUCACGUCGCAGAAGUGCCCACCCAGCUUCUGCCCAUUGAGGGUCUCAAGCAGAGAGCGUGAGAAGUUCUGCAGAUGUAUGUGGCGCACAGCCUCUACAGCCGCCGACUCCGACUCCUCUUCAGGCACCAGGCCUGGCCGUGGCCGCCUUCUCACCGACUCCAAGGCAGCACUUCCGGGCGCUUCUCUUUAUUUUUAUACAGUUUUAUUGAGAUAUAAUUUACAUGCUAUCCAGCCCAUCUAUUUCAAGUGUACCAUGCAAGGGGUUUGUAUAUAUUCACAGAGUUGUGUAUCCAUCACCAUCGUUUUAGAACAUUCAUCACUCCAGAAGAAACUACGUACCCAUCAGCAGCCACUGCCCAUUUCCCUGAUCUGCCCCGCCCUAGGAAAUCCGUAAUCACUUUCAGUCUAUGGAUUUGCCUAUUCUAGACCAUUCAUAUAAAUGAAGUCACACAACACUGGGUCUUAUGUGACUGGCUUCUAUCAAAGUUUGCAAGGUUCAUUUAUGUUCAUGGGCUGACCCCACAUUGGACACCGCUGCAUCCAUGUCCAUCACACAACACAGCUGCCGUUUCUUCUGCCUGCUUAUGGGAAAGUCCCCUCUUCUCCUCCGUUUUCUUCUCUUCCUGCCCUAUCACACCGUGCACUUCUCCCUUUCCUUAAAGAACCACCAUCAACUUUAGGAGGAGGGAAAGGGGUGGCUCUGGCAGGAAAAGCCAGAAUCCCCUCUAGCCAGCAGAGAGAGAGAGGAAUGGCUGCAUGUUUUCUCCCCCAGUCCAAGGCACUGGGUCUUGGCUGGGUUGAAGGUUCCAAGCUGCUCUCCUGCUGUGUCGGUGAGUUCUGGUCAACCUGCAACCUCCUGAUAUGGCCAUUGCAGUUCAUCGAGUCUUCAGGGACUCCCCAUGGCCUGGAGUACUUUGCCUUGCUUACACGGGAGAGGAGAAUGGAUUUAUAGAGAACAUCAUCUAAAUCCAACUUGACCAUUGUGUGGCCACACUUGCUAGAUUGCUAUAGUCUAAAUCUAGCAUUGUAGAAAGACGGGGGAGCUUGGAGCUGCACAAACCCAGGUCUGGAACUGGCUCCUUACCUUGGAAGGUGAAUGAUCCUGCCAGGACUCUUAGCCUCCCUGGGUCUCAAUUUCUUUAUCUGUUUCAUGGGAAUGAGGAUCUCUGCUGGGUGGUUGGGUGAUGUGGGGGCUGUGUGAAAACAGCUUGUCAAUACAAGCCAAAAUAGAAAUAUUUCUCCACAGAGUAUGAAGGUCAAAUGAGAGAAUACAUUUAAAUUAAAUGGAAAAUUAAAAUGGUAAAAAAUGCAAAGCUGUAUUGAAAGUUCCGAGCUUCUCUAUAAGGAGCUUUUUGACUAUGGAAGAAUCCUGUACUCGUUCCCCCUAAAUAUAAAAAAAAAGUUGAAGGAGGCAGAAGGGAGAGUGAUGCACGAUGGGCAAGGACUUCACCUGCUGUUGCUGGCUUUGAGGAUGGAGGAAGGAGGCCACAAACCUAGAAGCUGGAGCCCCUAGAAGCUAGAAAAGGCAGGGACCCGAUUCUUUCCUUGAGCCUCCAGAAGGGACACAGCCCCGCCAGCACCUUGACUUUAGCCUGGUGAGAUCCUCUUAGGACUUUUGGCAAUCAGAACUAUAAGACAGAAAUGGAAGCCACUGAGUCUGUAGCUGUUUGUUGCAGCAGCAAUAGAAAACUAAUGCAGGGCCCAAGAAAUCACUGGUGAUGAGAUCGGGAAAGUGGGCUCAGGAGGUCUGGAUCUGUGAUGAGAUGGGGAAAGUGGGCUCAAGAGGUCUGGAUCUGUGGUGAGAUGGGGGAAGUGGGCUCAGGAGGUCUGGAUCUGUGAUGAGAUGGGGAAAGUGGGCUCAGGAGGUCUGGAUCUGUGAUGAGAUGGGGAAAGUGGGCUCAGGAGGUCUGGAUCUGUGAUGAGAUGGGGGAAGUGGGCUCAGGAGGUCUGGAUCUGUGAUGAGAUGGGGGAAGUGGGCUCAGGAGGUCUGGAUCUGUGAUGAGAUGGGGGAAGUGGGCUCAGGAGGUCUGGAUCUGUGAUGAGAUGGGGAAAGUGGGCUCAGGAGGUCUGGAUCUGUG